rnacentral:rRNA from 1 species
AGAGUUUGAUCCUGGCUCAGGAUGAACGCUAGCUACAGGCUUAACACAUGCAAGUCGAGGGGCAGCAUGGUCUUAGCUUGCUAAGGCUGAUGGCGACCGGCGCACGGGUGAGUAACACGUAUCCAACCUGCCGUCUACUCUUGGCCAGCCUUCUGAAAGGAAGAUUAAUCCAGGAUGGCAUCAUGAGUUCACAUGUCCGCAUGAUUAAAGGUAUUUUCCGGUAGACGAUGGGGAUGCGUUCCAUUAGAUAGUAGGCGGGGUAACGGCCCACCUAGUCAACGAUGGAUAGGGGUUCUGAGAGGAAGGUCCCCCACAUUGGAACUGAGACACGGUCCAAACUCCUACGGGAGGCAGCAGUGAGGAAUAUUGGUCAAUGGGCGAUGGCCUGAACCAGCCAAGUAGCGUGAAGGAUGACUGCCCUAUGGGUUGUAAACUUCUUUUAUAAAGGAAUAAAGUCGGGUAUGCAUACCCGUUUGCAUGUACUUUAUGAAUAAGGAUCGGCUAACUCCGUGCCAGCAGCCGCGGUAAUACGGAGGAUCCGAGCGUUAUCCGGAUUUAUUGGGUUUAAAGGGAGCGUAGAUGGAUGUUUAAGUCAGUUGUGAAAGUUUGCGGCUCAACCGUAAAAUUGCAGUUGAUACUGG